GUUUGGGGCAGUGUUCCGCUCUCGUGGCUGCACUUUCCGCGUGUCCUCCCAAUCUGCCGGCAUCCACGCACCUCCGCGCCUUCCCACACUCUUGGCUGUAUCUCCGCCGUUGUCCCGUGCGGUCUGUUGCAGCCUCCUCGGCCCUGCGCAGAUGAAGACCCUCCCCCGGACGGCUUUGCGGGCCCUGCCUCAGCCGGCGCCCCCUUCUCUCCUGCAGGACCCGGACCCGCACUGCAGGGGCUGAGUGCCCUCUGGGAGUGUCACGUGACUGCUGUCGUAUGGGAGAUGUGGUCAGGAAGAGCCUGGCUAUGAGCCUCAGGUGGAUCUGUGUACACAGGCUCCGUGGAGGUUCCUCUUCAUGUCAGCCAGGCGCUAGACCCUGGGGCCUCAGGUUCUCUUUUUAAAGGGUGACCCCAGAGUUUCACUAGAGAAGAAACUCCCAGGCCUGUGGUUCUGAGGCUCCCUAGCUUUCUGGUUCACAUCAGUUGGUGUAUUAGAUGGCUGGCGGAGUCCCCAGCCAUGUCGUCAGCCCUCAGCAGGGGGCUGACCUGCCUUUCUAUGCUACAGAUGUGUUGGUGGAAGGCUGAAACUCUGCAAUGGUGCUUUCAUUACUCGGUGACCCUGAAGAGGCAACACGGCGCCCCCUAGAGGCAUGACUGGCUCCCAGGUAACAGGUGACAUCUAGUUUGGCUGUGUAAACUGGGAGCUUGGGCCUGUUCCAUUGGGAUCCUCUGAGCUGUUACUUGAAGAUGGUGCUGGAAAGUAAUGCUUGUGGGCUUCUUCUAGAUUCAUCCACUGUGUGCACAGCAGCGGGACAGAAUGGAGAGGGAGGUCCCCACACGAAGCCUCACCAGGGCUCGCUGCCCUCUGCGCCGAGUCAUGGGAGAACCCUUCCCUCAGCACAGAGAUGAGGGGAAGCCCUGGGACUGGCAUCUCUUGAGUCCCGACACUGCCCUGGUUGGGGGGUGGGGGAGCUGUGGACAGGGAAGGCUGGCCCUGAGCCUCAAUGCUGCGCCUGGAUGACUUCAGCAACCAGGAGUUUUUCUCUUGAGUUGGCAGCUGCUUGUCAAUCUGCUCUCCACCCAUCCAUUCAAUAAACUGUACACAG
rnacentral:lncRNA from 1 species